AUUGAACGCUGGCGGCAGGCCUAACACAUGCAAGUCGAACGAGUGGCGGACGGGUGAGUAAUGUCUGGGAAACUGCCUGAUGGAGGGGGAUAACUACUGGAAACGGUAGCUACUACCGCAUACCAUCAGCUGUGCCCAGAUGGGUUUAGCUUGUUGGUGGGGUAAAGGCUCACCAAGGCGACGAUCCCUAGCUGGUCUGAGAGGAUGACCAGGCACACUGGAACUGAGACACGGCCCAGACUCCUACGGUAGGCAGCAGUGGGGAAUCUUCGGCAAUGGGCGAAAGUCUGACCGAGCAACGCCGCGUGAGUGAAGAAGGUUUUCGGAUCGUAAAGCUCUUUUGUUAGGGAAGCGGUAUCUAACCAGAAAGCCACGGCUAACUACGUGCCAGCAGCCGCGGUAAUAC
rnacentral:rRNA from 1 species